rnacentral:piRNA from 1 species
UGGAAAGAAGGUAUAGACAGAAACGA